rnacentral:snRNA from 1 species
AUCACUUCUCGGCCUUUUGGCUAAGAUCAAGUGUAGUGCCUGUUGAUGAAUGAAACAUUUGUGUUGCCUCCAGAUUUGGGGUAUUACAAAUGAAGCUGCUAUGAACAUUCAUGUGCAAGUCUUUGUAUGAACAAGUGUUUUCUUGGAUAAACACUUAUGAGUAGAAUUUACCUAGA